AUUAAGGACGAAAAAUGACGGUACUUAAUGAAUAAGCUCCGGCUAACUACGUGCCAGCAGCCGCGGUAAUACGUAGGGAGCAAGCGUUGUCCGGAUUUACUGGGUGUAAAGGGUGCGUAGGCGGCUUUGCAAGUCAGAUGUGAAAUCUAUGGGCUCAACCCAUAAACUGCAUUUGAAACUGUAGAGCUUGAGUGAAGUAGAGGCAGGCGGAAUUCCCCGUGUAGCGGUGAAAUGCGUAGAGAUGGGGAGGAACACCAGUGGCGAAGGCGGCCUGCUGGGCUUUAACUGACGCUGAGGCACGAAAGCGUGGGUAGCAAACAGGAUUAGAUACCCUGGUAGUCCACGCUGUAAACGAUGAUUACUAGGUGUGGGGGGUCUGACCCCUUCCGUGCCGGAGUUAACACAAUAAGUAAUCCACCUGGGGAGUACGGCCGCAAGGUUGAAACUCAAAGGAAUUGACGGGGGCCCGCACAAGCAGUGGAGUAUGUGGUUUAAUUCGAAGCAACGCGAAGAACCUUACCAGGUCUUGACAUCCAACUAACGAAGUAGAGAUACAUUAGG
rnacentral:rRNA from 1 species